GACGAACGCGGCGGCGUGCUUAACACAUGCAAGUCGAACGAAGAGCGAUGGAAGCUUGCUUCUAUCAAUCUUAGUGGCGAACGGGUGAGUAACGCGUAAUCAACCUGCCCUUCAGAGGGGGACAACAGUUGGAAACGACUGCUAAUACCGCAUACGAUCUAACCUCGGCAUCGAGGAUAGAUGAAAGGUGGCCUCUACAUGUAAGCUAUCACUGAAGGAGGGGAUUGCGUCUGAUUAGCUAGUUGGAGGGGUAACGGCCCACCAAGGCGAUGAUCAGUAGCCGGUCUGAGAGGAUGAACGGCCACAUUGGGACUGAGACACGGCCCAGACUCCUACGGGAGGCAGCAGUGGGGAAUCUUCCGCAAUGGACGAAAGUCCGACGGAGCAACGCCGCGUGAGUGAUGACGGCCUUCGGGUUGUAAAGCUCUGUUAAUCGGGACGAAAGGCCUUCUUGCGAAUAGUGAGAAGGA
rnacentral:rRNA from 1 species